AGGAGCUUCAGGCACCAUGCAUAGCCAAUAAAUCAGAAUAAACAACUAGUCAGGAAAAUCAAAUGCUUGGAUUUUAUUAUUAAAAUAUUUUCAAAGCUGAUGAAAUUGGAAAAUGACGAACCGAGACCUGACUCUAUUGCUCAUCCCCAAGUUAAGAGAGCCAGCUUUCAGCUCACCUGCUGGGCAACUUGACAGAAAGAAUGCACACACACACACACACACACACACACACACUCACACACAUACCUCCCCUCCUAGACCUUCCAAGCAGGGAGUCUCGCCCGAGUAACACAUACCCUUUACUCGCAUUCUUCCCUUGAUUUAUCAGGAGAGAAUGGUCAGAACUUAACAGAAAAAAAAGGACCCAGGCUCUUGGGUUCUGAGAGGGGAUGGGGUGAGGCUGUCUGUCAUGAUGACCUUGACCUUUUCCUUCCUGCACCUCCAGAUUCCCUCUCCCCUUCUUUAAGAGUGGAGGAGGUGGUACCUAGGGGCCAGGACCCUCCAUUUCAGUCUGUACAAACCACUAAUUCCUUCUGUGCCCUUAGGCAAGUCACUCGCCCUGCCUGGUCAAUAAAGUCUCCUUCUUUACUGAAAAAUACAUCAGCUUGCCUCAUGUGGAUGUCCUGAGACAUAAAUGACAGAUGGGAAAUGAGGGGCUUUGUAAGAUUUAAAAUGCUGUGUCCCUGAGAAGGAUGUUGCACUGGUUUGGAGCCAGGAUCUGAUAAACAGGAGACAAAUGAAACACUGGAAUAAAAAAAUACUUGUAACUUAUAUGAAAAAAAUAAACGUAUGUUAUUAAUAUACAAAGAGCUCUAACCAAUCAAUAAGAAAAAAUCCUGGGAAAUUGAUAUGAACAUAGGCAGAUCAGAAAUGAAGAAAUUCAAGUGCUUAUGAACAUAUUGGAGAAUAAUAAUAGCUUACAUUUACUUGGCCCUUAUUUUGAGCCAGGAACUGUGCUGGCACUUUACAUGAAUGAUGCCAUUAAAUCCUCCAAUCCAAUUAAUAAGGUAAAGACCCAUUACCAUCCUCAUUCUAUAGAUGAAGAAACUGAGGUCCAGGGAGGUUCAGCAACUUUCCCAGCAUCACACAGCUUGAGAGUGCCAGAACAGGAAUUCUCACUCACGCAGUCCGGCAGACCACAACCUCACUCACAGGGAACAGAUUGCAAAUCACAAUAACUAGGAAGACAUUGUUCCUUCACUUAUCAAAUUAGCCAAAAUAUUAAAGUUCGAUUAACAAUCAAAUAUUGGCGUGGGUAUGAGAAAAUAUGCGUUUUCAUGUAUUAUUGGUGCAAUCUUUCUGGGGAGCAAUUUGCCAAUACCGGUAGAUAUUUUACAUGUACCACUUGAUGAAAAAUUUAUCCUACAGAUAUACUCACACCUGAACAUAAAACUAUACAUACAAGGAUAUUUAUUUUUAUAUGAGAAAAAGGAACUCUCAUUCAUUGCUAGUAGGAAUACGAAAUUGUACAGAGAUAGUUUGGCAGUUUCUUAUGAAGCUAAACAUAGUCUUACAGCAAUGUUGCCCUGCGUAUUUAACCAACUGAAGUAAACAUAUGUCCACAUCAAAACCUGCACAUGAAUAUUUAUAGUAGUUUUAUUCAUAAUAGUCAAAACCUGAAAGCAACCAAGAUGCCCUUUGGUAGAUGAAUAAAUGGCAGUAUGCCCAGACAACAGAACAUUUUUCAGCACUAAAAAGAAAUGAGUUCUCAAGCUAUGAAAAUACAUGGAGGAAGCUUAAAUCCAUAUUGCUAGGUGAAAGAAGCCUGUCUGAAAAGGCUACAUGCUACAUGAAGCCAACUCUGUGACAUUCAGGAAAACUAUAGAGACAGUAAAAAGAUCAGUGGUUGCCAGGAGUCCUGGGGAAGGUAAGAGGGGUGAAUGGACGGAGCACAGGGGAUUUUUAGGUGGUCCAACUAUUCUGUAUGCUACUGGAGUGGGAGAUACACCACAUGGAUUUUCAAAAUCCAGAGAAGUGUCCAACACAAAGAGUAAACUUUAAACCAUGAACUUUAGGAAACAGUAAUGCAUCAAUAUUGGUGCAUUAAUUGUAACAAAUGUACCAUGUUGUACACUAUGCAAGCUCAUAAUAGGAGAAAGUGUAUGAGAGUGAGAAAGUGUAGGGGAACUCUGUAUUUUCUGCAUACUUUUUCUCUUAAUUAAAUCUCAUCUAAGAAAUAAAUCUAUUAAGUUAAAAAAAAUGUGAGGUGUAACAUAAAGUCCAGAAAAAGAAGUCUGGUUUAAUUUUAAAAGGCACUUGUAUACUAUGCCAUACAAUAUGCCCAGGAAGAAAAUAAAGAAAAUAUUGUUAUAUGUGGCAGUAUUAUCUACAAGACAUAUCUUAAUUUUUUUUUUCUUUUUUUGGCAGAGUCUCGCUCUGUUGCCCAGGCUGGAGUGCAGCGGCACAAUCUCAGCUCAUUGCAACCACCACCUCCUGGGUUCAAGCGAUUCUCCUGACUGUAGCUGGGAUUACAGGCACCCGCCACCACGCCCAGCUAAUUUUUGUAUCUUUAGUAGCGACAGGAUUUCACCAUGUUGGCCUGGCUAGUCUGGAACUCUUGACCUCAGGUGAUCCUCCCACCUCAGCCUCCCAAAGUGCUGGAAUUACACGCAUGAGCCACCAUGCCUGGCCUAUCUUAAAGAAUUAAUACAGAAUAGUAUCUAAGUGGGAUCUCACUUGUAUGGAAUAUUCAGAGGUCUGAGCUUGUGAUUACCAAGGAAGUUUGUGGAAGGCCCAUGGAAAUUAUUAACAUCUUCAGUGGUAAUCUGCGGGAAUUCCAGACAAGGGCGAGGAUCAGACCUUCAGUUUACACAGUAUUUGAAAUUCCUAUCAUGAAUAAAACAAAAGGCCGAGGUCUGUACUGUUUUAAAUUCUUAUCAUAAGUACGUAUUACUUUCAUUUUUGAAAAGACAAACAAAAUGACCGCCCUGGAGUCACACAGACUGGAGUGUGAAUUCCAGCAACUGAAUUCCAGAGUUGAAAUGCAGCAGCCAUCGUGGGGCUAAGGACAGCCUUCACUACGCUCUAAAGAUGGCACAGCACAAAUAUGGAAAGAACCUGAAUCCAUGUCCACACUGAGCCACACAGCCCACCCAGAAGCCAGUUACCUCCUAAAUUCUUCAGUGGGAAGGUGAACAUUCUAUAAUAAUUGUUUAGCUAACUUUCAGUUCAAAAUUAACUUACUUGUAGCUGAAAGUGUCCUAAGGAAGACAGCAGCUCAGAGAGGCCUUGUGCGCAUGGAAGGAAAGAGGAAUGGGUGUUCAAGAUACAGCCACUUCCUUGACCCUCUCCCCAAGAAGAAGGGAAGCCCAGCCCUUUGCGGGUGUCAUGGGGUAAAGCCCCAAACUGAGGUUCAGCCUGGGAGGCUACGUCGGUUCUUGGCUUCACCCAGGAAGGAAUUCAAGAGCCAGCCAACAGAGUAAAGUGAAAGCAAGUUUAUUAGGGUGGAUCACUUGAGGCCAGGAGUUCAAGAGCUGCCUGGCCAACAUGGUUAAACUCCAUCUCUACUAAAAAUACAAAAAUUAGCCAGGCCUGGUGGUGCACACCUGUAGUCCUAGCUACUCGGGAGGCUGAGGCUGAGGCAGGAGAAUCGCUUGAACCCAGAGGCUGAGGUUGCAGUGAGCGAGAUUGUGCCACUUGCACUCCAGCCUGCAAGACUCCGUCUCAACAACAACAACAACAACAAAAUGAUGAAGGCAGACCAAAGGUUUGCACCACCAUAUUUGCACAGAGGCUCAGAGGCACAGCUUAGGGGGGAAAGAGAGGAAGUCCUCUUCAUCCAGCCCCUCGUGAGGAUGAGCUGCAUCUGGAGUCGAAGAGGCUCCGAGGGUCCCGGCUUGGAGCGAAAUGCCCACCAGGAGGCGUCGGGUCCUGUCACGGGCCGCGCCGCCCAGGACCACGCCUGGCCCGGGACCCACGCCAGUCCGGGGACACACACCUAGCCGCAAACCAGACCGCGGGAUCAGCCGCAAGCCACCCUCUCCAGCGCCGCCCUGCACCGCAGAUCAGGGUAGGAGAUUAGAGUAGGAACGCGGAGGGGUGGGGGAGGGGUGGGCGAGGGGUGGGGGAGGGGUGGGGUGGGCGGAGGGGCCUAUCUGCUCCCAGUCCCUAUGACACAGGGACUAAGAGUACCUAAAGCCCUGGGAGAGGAGGAGGAAAGGUCAGGCAGGGACUAGGCGCAAAAUUUAAGGCAACACUAAGUGAUUCGGUAACCAAGAUAAAUCAUAUUUUAAUUAUUUUAAAGCAGUGUUUUAAAAUAAAAACUAAUGAAAAAAUGAUAAAAUAUCAAAAAUUUCAAUAAAGCAGCAUCCGACUUCCUGCCCAGCUGUCCUACGGUAUCCCAGGUGCCAGCCCCCUGUGUCCACACCCCUGCUGGUUCCUGCCCCACCCCUUCCCCCAGCCCAGGAGGCUUCCACCCCUUCAAGAAUUGAAAUCUUCACAAGAAGCCCUUGCCCAUCUCCCUGAAUACCCCCAACUCUGAAGAGAAAAAAAAUCAAACCAAAGAGUUUUCCUCAAGAGUUGCAGGCUGGGCUUACAAAAGCCACAAAGCUUGUGUACAAAAUGACACCCUUGGCCACCAUCUCCCAGUCUGUUGACUGCUAAAAAUGAGAAGUGAACAGAGAGAAGGCCAGGCAGAAGGCUGCAGGGCAGGGGCCAGGUGGGCAGCAACAGGGAACAAAUCUGAGUGGAGGGGAGAAUUCUACCCCUCCCAGGGUUCCAGCCCCAACAGAGGCUCCCUGCUUGGGCCUUGCUCAGGCCUGGGAGGGUGAUAUGCUUUGGCUGUGUCCCCACCCAAAAUCUCAUCUUGAAUUGUAAUCCCUAUAAUCCCCAUGUGACAAGGGAGAGAUCAGGUGGAGGUGAUGGAAUCGUGGGGGCGGUUCCCCCAUGCUGUUCUUGUGAUAGUAAGUUCUCACGAGAUCUGAUGGUUUUAUAAGUGUUUGGUAGUUCCUUCUGCAUUCAUUUUCCUUCCUGCUGCCUUGUGAAGAAGGUGCCUUGCUUCUCCUUCGCUGUCUGCCAUGAUUGUAAGUUUCCUGAGGCUUCCUGUAAGUUUCCUGAGGCUCCCCGGGCCACGUGGAACUGUGAGUCAAUUAAACCUCUUUCCUUUAUAAAUUA